rnacentral:rRNA from 1 species
GUCCACGCCGUAAACGAUGGGUGCUAGACGUUGGCGAGCUUGCUCGUCAGUGUCGCAGCUAACGCGUUAAGCACCCCGCCUGGGGAGUACGGCCGCAAGGUUGAAAACUCAAAGGAAUUGACGGGGGCCCGCACAAGCGGUGGAGCAUGUGGUUCAAUUCGACGCAAACGCGAAGAACCUUACCAGCCCUUGACAUGUGACUCGCCGGUCCCAGAGAUGGGACCUUGGUUCGCCGGAGUCAACACAGGUGCUGCAUGGCUGUCGU